ACCUUCUCAGUAUUGCAGCUGGAGAAUUUCCAGUACUCUAUCAGUCUCGGCUAUGGGAGGGAGAGUCAAGCAGAGGCCUACCCAUUCCAUUCCUAGCUUGGUUAGUAGCUAGCAAAUGGAAGGCAAUCUGCUGCAAGU